UGUCCUUAAAAUCUAACAAUCCCCAUUACCAAUUUCUGUGAUUAAGCACAGGCAAUUAUUUGGGAAAAUGUACCGGAAAAUUCGGCAUUCUAUUAAUGACGCAAAAUAGUAUGAUUUAAGGGACGGGAUUAUGAUGUUUUGUACAAGCGGUUACGGAUGACAUUCGUUAAGCAAAGCCGGAAACUCAACACCAAUCAAGCGAAGCAAUCCCAAUCAAUCGGUCAACAUUUACCUCUGCUCUGUUGCUAUACGAAAAGUAAUUAUGACAUCACGGACUUGGUUAUUACUUGUCUCUCACCACUUUGAGAAGCCAAGUAAUAAUUAAUAAACGCGGCUACUGCCUGCCCUACAAAACACGAAGAAAGAUAGUGUCCAAGCAGUAGUUUUCAUCAAUCAAACAAUUAAACGGAACGGUACGGCCGCGGACAGAGCAGAAAAUAAAAAGUCAACAAUAAAAAUUAUCAAUUAAAUACAAAAUAAAUCCGCAGUGAGUGUUUCUCCGGUUGCAAACAAGAAUGUAACUUUUCGCGAACGGAAUUAAUGAAACGUUGGUUUAAUCACCCGUUUACUACCUGCCCUACAAAACACGAAGAAAGAUAGUGUCCAAACCACAGUUUUAAAAUUAAAUAAAACGGAACGGGACGGAACGAUAUCAAUAGCAAUGGAUUCGAUAAAGAUCUUAAUACGCGAGCUUGGAAGCGGCCGGUCAACUGUCAACAGGUGGCUCUUACCUAACCCAAUUCACACUGUCAACGUCAAGACAAAAUUAAACGUAAAUAUUGAAAAUUUAACGGUAUUGAAAUAUGGAAAAAUUACUGGUACUUCGCUCGAAAGGUAUGGUACGACCUUACUGCGACGAAUGUGAAUCCUUGGUGGACCUGGAACCUUUUUAUACCCAUCGCAGGAAUUUGGAUGCCGACAACUCACGAACAUCUUCGGAACCAAUCGUUAAAUAAAAAUGCAAUUGGGAAAACUUAAUGAAAAUAGAGUUUUUCCUCAUGAAAACGGUGAAAACAGCGGAACAAAAGCUGGCCACAUGUGUACAAGAAAACCGGCUUUUCAGGAAAACCGCGGGAAACUGAAUCAUGAUUUAUAUUAUAUUUUGCCACACCGGGCAUGCCCCUUCAUUUAACAGGGCUUCCCAAGUUUUAGGCAUUUGUGAUUCUUUAUUAUCCUAAGAAUAACCAGGGCUGAAAACAAUAAGGCCAGAGGCUACAACAUAGUCAACGGAGAACUAGGCAUAACCUAUAAGAAAUCAAACCUUUCCAGGAUACUAUCAGGCUAGAAACCUCUUUAAGUUGGUUUCUUUAUGUAUAUUUACAAUUAUAAACCACUCAUGACUCACAGGUAAAGCUUAAAAUGUAUCUUUUUAUUAUGUAAAUUAUAAAUUUAGAGGUUAAAAUGUUAACGGAGCAAAAUUAUCUAAGUUGUUCCAUAAAAGACUGCCUGGGCUUACCCUUAUUACUAUAAAAUAAAGACAAAAUCUUGUAACUUCGUUACACUGCUAAAACGAGACUCAGAGUCAAGAGUGAAGUCAACAGACUCGGACAUAAGUGAUUCUCAUGAAAGUUCGAUGGGACAGAGCUAA